ACAAUCGAAUACCAAGUGUGAC
rnacentral:siRNA from 1 species